GUCCCACAGUUCCACAAAUUGUUCUACAAAUUAAAACGCAGUAGACAUCUUUUAGUUUGCAUUUGUCUCUGUGCAGGAGGGUUCCUUGUUAAGGAAAAAGGUAAAAAUAGUACAUAUUGUGCAAUUUAAGUGAAAUUAUUGUGAAGUGGAGAUAUAAUGUAAAAAAAGAAACAUGUUUUAAACAAUGCGUUUCAUUCCUUCCAGGAUUUUUAUUCAAAAGCCAAGAAUACAGGUUACCAUCACUGACUGACCAUUAAAGACUAAGUUCCAGGUACAACAUCCUAUUAGAGAGGAGCAAUGAAAAGAAAAUCUGGAAUUUCAAAGUCUUAUUUUUACAAAUUAAUUAAAUUAAAUGACGAUGAACUCCCAGUCUCAGACCCUAGCACUGAGGAACAAAAUGAUGCAAGCAGUGUGGAAAAUUGUAGUAAAAGCGAAGAUUCUUUAUCCGAUGACGAGAAUUUUUUUCAUCAAAAUCCUACGCGACAAAACGAAAGUCCAAAUUCACCUGUUUAUUCUUGCAAAUCUCAUGAUGAGAGUACUGAAUCUUAUGAUGUCAGUACGGAAUCUUGUCAUGAGAGUACUGAUUGUCACAGCAGUACUGGCUCUUCCAGUGACAGCGAUUCUUGUUCAGGAACGCAUAGUUGUGGCAAUGAAUCUUUCAGUAAGAGGGAAAAACUUGCGCAAUUUCUUAUCAACAAUAAUCUCCCAAGAUCUGUGUGUGACAACUUGUUGAAGUUCCUGCGUGAUAAUUAUGAUCAUACCCUACCGAAAUCCAGAAAUAGUCUUUUAAAAACACCCAGAAAUAAGAUCCAAAUUCAUAGGGUUGAACCUGGCGAAUACCUUCAUAUAGGGAUUGAGGAAUCACUGAAAGAGUUCGAUAAAAACUCAUUUUUGAGAGAUUUAAGGACGAUUGAAUUGCAGAUUGGAAUUGAUGGUUGUCCGGUAAGUAAAAAUCCACCACGUACUGUGUGGCCUAUAUUAGGGUACUUUCCUGGACACAAAGAAAUAUCUCCCUUUGUUAUCGGCAUUUAUUCAGGGAGUAAAGAUCCUUCAAAUUCUAACGAUUUUUUAUUAGAAUUUGUAGACGAAGCUAGAACAUUAUAUUUAAAUGGUAUUUUAGUCACAGAGGCACAAAUCAAAAAGCCAUUCAAAAUUAGUGGAAUAAUAUGUGACACAAAGGCCAGAUCAUUCUUAAAAAACGUUAUUGGCCACACAGGUAUCCAUGGUUGUGGUCACUGUGAUCAAAAAGGAAACACGCAGUCAGGGAAAUUGGUUUUCCAGACUGAAGUUGGAAAUUUACGGACUGAUCAGUCAUACAGGGAAUGGAGCGAUUAUGAACAUCAUAAAGUAGUGUCCAUUUGGGAAGAUUUACCUAUUGACAUGAUCACUGCAUUUCCACUAUGUCCAAUGCACCUUGUCCAUUUAGGACUAAUGAGGGCAUUGGGGGUCAUUUGGACUACACCAAAAAGUAAAUUUUUUACAUUGAAACCAGUGCAAAGGACUAAACUUAAUGUGUUACACAUGCAAUGCUCAUCAUUCAUGCCAUCAGAAUUUUCUCGAAGUCUUGAGAGUACAUCAUACAUAGGUCGCUGGAAGGCCACGCAAUGUCGGCAAUUUAUGUUAUAUAUUGGCCCAGUUGUAUUAAAAAGUAUAUUAGAUAAAGAACGUUAUGAACACUUCAUGCUCAUAUCGAUAUCGAUAAGGAUACUCUCAUCGGUUAAAUUGUGUGAAAAUCCAAGUUUCGUAGACAUUGCGGAAAGAAUGAUACAAGUGUUUGUUCAGCAGUAUCCUAAUUUGUAUGGACCUAAUUCAGUAACAUUUACAGUCCACAAUAUGCUUCACUUAACUGCAUGUGUAAGGGUAUAUGGACCCCUGGAGGCAUUUUCUGCUUUUCCAUAUGAAAAUUUCAUGCAAACUCUUAAGAGUAAAAUUGCAGUUUCCGCUCCAAUCUUGCCUCAAAUUGUGAAACGCAUGCAAGAAGAAAAAUAUCUGAAAAGCACUAUUGGAUCAAGAGUUACAAAUAUCCCUGAGCUCUCAGGAAAGUUCAAAAAUGAGAAGUUCAUUGGGUGUUCCUUUGCAUACCGCUCUUGUUUUUAUAAUAACGUUCAAUACAAGGCAAAUAAAAAAGACGGUUGCUGCAGAGUCAAAGGAGGCAAAAUCAUAUUAAUAACUGGUUUUGGUGAAAACAAGAAUAAGUUGGGUGUUUUUGGACUUUCUUAUAAAAAUCCUCAAAAUUUCUUCGAGACUCCUUUGAAGUCUUCUGAUCUGGGAAUAUUCCUCGUGAAAGAUUUAAACGAAGAAACUGAUUUUUUUUCAAUACAAGAUAUUACACACAAAAUGGUCAGAGUACCGUUCCAGGAUGCUUUCAUUGUUUUGCCUUUAAUUCACGAUUCCUAAUGCUUUUAUCUUCAAAUGCAACUUACUUUGUUAUUAAUGCUAGGAAAAUUGUCAAAGAUGAACGAUAUGGAAAAUUACGAAGACGAUCUUCUGAUAGAGGAAGUUCUGGAAAGUGAAUCAGAAGAGAGGGAAAAUGAGAACAGACAAGACAUAAGUAUUUCGGAUGUGCAUUCUCUGUUGGUGAAAACAUAUGAUCUGCUCAAAAAACUUCAUAAAUCGACCAAGAUUCAAAACAACCGUGAAAAUAUUAAAGAUUCUGUGCUUAACAUGCUGCCAUUAAAAUCAGCAAAAGAACUCAAGGAAUUUAAUAACUUGAUUAAAAACAGAAGUCUCGCGAAACAAGGAUUUAUCGAAAUUGCACGCAAUUCAACUCUAAAGGACAUCGCCACUGAUGAUCUAAUUUUCGAAAUGAACUUUUCUGGAGCAAAGAAGAAAAUAUCUCUCAGAGAUCAAAAAUUCUUUCAAGUUUGGAAGAAGACCUCUGGUAUGAACUAUGCAGAGUUUGAUAGGAAAAUGAGAGAAGAACUUAAUCUCUCCCACAACCGUACGCACGCAAAACAAAGUCGAGCAAAGAAGAAGAUGACACGGGAGCCACUAAUUGAGCAAAAUGAAGAUCCCGAUGAAGAUCCCGAUGAAGACCCGCUGGGAUACAAUGAUUUUACUUUAGGUUAAGUCUGGAUUUAACCAGAAGCAGCAGCAUAAAAAGUCACUAAUGUAAGUCUGACAAAAAAAAAAGAAAUCGAUACGUUGAUGAAUUUAUGAUAUGAAGUUAGAAUUAAAUUUAUUUAUCAAGCGAUAUUAUAUGAUUAUCAAACUGUCUAUGAAGUGCAACAAAAAUGACUGAAA